UACGUAGGGUGCAAGCGUUGUCCGGAAUUAUUGGGCGUAAAGAGCUCGUAGGCGGUUUGUCGCGUCUGCUGUGAAAACUCGGGGCUUAACUCCGGGCCUGCAGUGGGUACGGGCAGACUAGAGUGCGGUAGGGGAGACUGGAAUUCCUGGUGUAGCGGUGAAAUGCGCAGAUAUCAGGAGGAACACCGGUGGCGAAGGCGGGUCUCUGGGCAUUAACUGACGCUGAGGAGCGAAAGCAUGGGGAGCGAACAGG
rnacentral:rRNA from 1 species